AUUGUCCCAACAGGUAUUCCAGGUAUGGCUGUUGUAUUAUGCAUGCAUCAGUAUUGACAGAAAGAAGAAAGGCUGUGUCUAAACUCAGUCUCCUGACCUAUGAACAUGUGAACAAUUAAUAGCCUACUUG